AAUGUGGCUGGCAACUGCGGGGGUAGAAGAACUCAGGCAAAGUAGGCACAGGAAUGGGGGAGAUGAGAGCCAAGGGACAAACGCCGAGAAAGCGUUCCGACAAGCAUGUGUGUUCAUACAUGCAUACCCCCAACAAAGGGCAAUGCACUGUGUAACAGAACUGAACACAAUUUAACAAAGCUGCUCCCAGCCUUCCUGUCACCUCUUUGGCAGUAGGGCAGGCCAUCUCAACUUCGGACACACAAAGACAUUCUCUUCAGGAGGAAGGCUGUCCUGUGUGGUGGGGACAAGGCUUCAGGUAAGAGCAAAGCUAUGAUAGCUACAGCAUUAAUUGAACAUGCCUAAACAAAAAAGAUGUUAAUUACUAGUUACAGGUAUACAUGCCAAAAUUACCCCCAGGGAUGGGCAUAGUCAAUCAUUUUCCUACAGUGGUGAAAUAAAACAAGCUUUGAUCAUGCUUCAGCAAGUAGAAUUAUGUGGUAGAGAAGUCAGGCCCCAUAUGCUAAAAUUUGCACUUCUUGCCAUAAACUUUUCAUGUAUAUAAGUCAAAACCAAGUCUCCUAGGACCACUAAACCUAUGAUGGGCUUUCAACUGUAACACUCAUUCACAUCUUUAAGUUAGGCCCAUGGUCAUGGAACCUGGCCAAGGUUUCAAGCACGCCUAAGCUGAAGAAAAACUAAAGUCACCCCCAUAUAAUUAGGUCCAGUCUAGGCACAGGAAGCCACAGCUGGUUGACUGAUCAGGGCUUCUCAGGACUGGAUGUUGGUUGAAUUGAGGAUUCCAGAAGUAGCAUCAGAUUUGGAAGCCUUUGAAAGUUCUCGCUGUUGAAAAAUAAAUAACAUCAGUGGCCAUACUGCCUCUCUUACACAUGGCCCACCCUUCUAAGUUUGGUUAAGUGUCAGCAAAAGGUCCCUUGAAGGUAGUUUCUCUGAGAUCCCUAGCCUGCAAUAGGCUGCGUUAGGAGUAAAAGGUGAGGAACUCUGAGCACCAUUCUAUUAGUCACAGACAGAGUGCAUGUGCACGCAUGCCCGUGACCCCUUUUUCCUCAGCCAGUCCAUUCUGUUACACCUCACAGAAGAGAAAUCCUUCAUACAGUCAUGCACUGCAUAAUGAUGUUUCAGUUAACGACAGGCCACAUACACUAUGGUGGUCCCAUAAGAUUAUACCAUAUUUUUACUGUACCUUUUCUAUGUUUAGAUACACAAAUACUUACCAUUGCGUUACAAUUGCCUACAGUAUCCCAGGAAUAGCCUGAAUCAAAAAAACCCACAAUUGCCUACAGUAUUCUUUCUGUAACAUGCUGCCCAGGUUUGUAGCCUAGGAGGAAAACGCCAUACCAUAUAGUUUAGGUGUGUAGGCUGUUCUGUCUAGGACUGUUAAGUACACUCUGAUAUGUGCACAAUGAAAUUGCCCCACAUUCUCAGAACAUAUCCCUGUCAUUAAGCGAGGCAUGACUCUACUUCACAGAGCUACUUUAGAGUUGUCAAGGUAAGUAGGCAACAAGCUUUGGUCUCUUGAGCCCUUUAUAAAACAAUGGGCCAGAACAUAUAUCUACCAAUCCCUGGGGCUGAGGCCUUGUAACCUGCUGGUGAUUUGAUCUCAUGCUGGAGCACAUGGUAGAGCAGCAAAAGAUAAAGCAUGAAUGGCUAUUGAGAAAGACAGAUAUUAGCAGAGGUUAGUUUACCGGCUUUGGUGCUGCCUGGUGGAGUCUAUCAGCCAUAGCAACCCAAACCAGACGAACCUACCUAGGACUAGCCACACAGAUAGGCAGGUACAUUUAAGCCUCAGAUAAAAUGGGCCUUGGUUGAACAAGCGAAAAAGAGAAAGCUGGACCUCUGUCCAGCAAUCAGCCAGAGUGACACACACCCACUUUUAAAGGUAGAAGCACCACCAGCCACGUAAUUUGAAAAACAUGCUGGAGUAGGAAGCCAGUUUCAGUGAUCAAAACUAGCUGCAGCCUUGGCCAACUGUUCCAUUCUCUAUCCCUGCAGCAAUUAAGAGGGGAGGCAGGCUAGGGGUUUAACUCAAUAUCCCCUCAAGGGUGAGGAACAUCCUCUCCUCUUGCUAGUAAAAUAUUGAGAGAAGAAAUCACAGAUUAAGUAAAAGGCAGUGUAGUUAGGUGUUAGCAAAUAUAGAGUAGGAUACUAGGAAGUGAAGAGCAUUCUGGAAAAACUUGCUUCCAGUGCUUCAUCUAUGCUUCAGUAGCUCAAUGUAUGGAAAGAGGCAAAGGUGAGGAAAUCAGCAUUAGCUAGCUGAGAAUAGAGCUGGCGGUUAAGCCCUGAGGGGUUAGGAAGGCAUAUACUCCAGGAAAUAAUCAGCACACAGGCCAAGAGCCUCAUUGUAGGCAGCACACAGCUGGGGCUCCCUUCCCCAUGUGAUUGGGGGCCUCUAUUCUUUCCAGCUAUUGCAGGCCUUUGAUGUCACAAUUGGGGAGGGUCAAGGUUUUCUGUUAAACGUGAUUUAAAACUGUGCCUGACUUUAGGGGCUGAGAAUCCAAUUCAAGUCUGAACAAAUUUUAUUAAUUAAUCUGUUGUGAAUGUAAAUCAGAUGUGUUUUUUUGAGUCCAUGAUAGGAAUUCCUGCUUCCUUUGUAACACUGCUGAGAUUAUUAGUUAGUGUAGCCCUGUGCCCAGAUGAAUGAAGCCAGCAGAUGACAGAUCAGUUUGGAAAAGGGACAUGCAGGGAUUGCCAUACAGACCUGAAGCCCAACAGUGGAACUGUCAGAGAGGGACGGAUCCUUCUAAGAACAAAGAAUUAAGACAAUUACCAAGAACUCCACCAAGAGAGCACCAGGACAGUGAUAGAGGGGUUGCCUCCUGCAGCCAGGGAAUGGUAUGUAUUAAGCAGAAGGAUCCAGGUUAAAUGUCUAGUUGCUGCUGCCAACUUCCUUCCUACACAACCCCCCCUUAAAUCACACCCACCCUGCCAUGGUCAAAGCAGGAAAGGGAUUCUCAGCCUCCAAGGUAGCUGCCCUAGCUAAUAGCCUGGGUGCCCCUGGGAAGAUACCCACUCUGCCCCAACUGUGUGCUCCCCAGAGACUGGUAGAUAUUAGAAAAGGUGAAUUACCGCAAACUCAGAAUAGGUGCUGGCAACAGAAUUAAUGCUGAAGUUGCGCUGGAGGGGGGCCGAGCCAGGGUACCCACCACUCAGGAUGCUGCCGUUGAGCUCCAGGUUCUCCUUGUUGGCUCCAUGCCUGCCAGUACGGGGUGUUUUCUUCCCUGAACAGGUGGAAGCAGCGACUGGCUGCAGAGAAAGGAAAGAGAUCCAUGUAUCAUCCUUCUAAUGAACGUGCACACGCACACACAAUACCUGCACUGGUCAAAGGCUGAGACUAUCUUUAUAUUCAUGUCUAUAAUCCUAUACUUUUUAGUUAAAAAAAAAACAUAUAUAUAUAUAUAUAUAUAUAUAUAUAUAUAUAUAUGGGGCUGGGUGUGGCUCAUGCCUAUAAUCCCAACACUUUGGGAGGCCAAGGCAGGAGGAUUGCUUGAGGCGACAUGUUCGAGACCAGCCUGGGCAACAUAGCAAAACACUGUCUCUAGAAAAAAAUUUUUUUUAAAUAUGAAUUCUUGAUUUACAGAACACCUAUCUUGAGCAUAGUCUAAUAAAAUAUUUGAAAGACUGAAUGUGUUUUGCCACAUACUUUCCACAUCUCUACUGAGUACCUGGCAUGUCUAGUGAUCUGGUUUCACUGGGCUAGAACCCACAUGUAGGGGACCUAUCUCCAUACCAGCUGAGGACUGGGCUUGGAAUUGAGUCUACAGCGACCCUGCCUGAUCUUCAGUUUCCCAGACACAUCCCAGUGCUUCCCAUGGUACCAGUGGGGCUCAGAGUGACUGUUCUCUUUUUUUGCACGUUAGUUUUGGACCAUUAUUUAAUGGUGAGCUAGCUUAUAUCUGUCAACUCUCAGCAUCUCAAUAAGAACCAAAUCCAGGGAUCUUAGAAUCUAGAACAAGUAGGUGGGGCCUCUGGGUGAACAGGCUAGGGACGCAUGUGAGGAUGUGCUUAGACACAGGGCAUACUAACCUUGCUGCCAGAAGGAGGAAGUCGAGACACGGGGGAGUGGUAGACUGUCCCUCCAAAGAUAGGCCGAAUGCUACUAUUGGCCGUAGCAUUGGACAUGGUGGUAGUGUUCAGCUAGGGAGAAGAGCACGUGGGUAACUGAUGUGCAGUAACAUCCUCAGCAUUUCUAGCAACCUGUCUACCCUACAGAGAAAUGACUAUGGGAGGAGGCAGUCUAGGGAAGACGGGUUUACAUGGUGAAGGGCCUGCUGUGUCUAAUACUGCAUAGAUUUGAAGUAACUUGUGAAAAAUUUUCAAAGCCUAUUGCUAUCCAGCAAAUGGAAGUGUACAAUGGUACAACCACUGUGGCACAAGACAUCUAGCAUAUGACCCAGCCAUUCCACUCUUAGAUGUUUCUACCCAAACGAAAUGAAAGCAUAGAUCCAUACAAAGACUUAGACGUAAAUGUUCACAACAGCUCCCUGCAGCAGCCAAAAGCUGGCAACAGCCAAAUACCCAUCAGCAGGUAAGUGGACAAGCAAACUGUGGUAAAUUCAUACAGUGGAAUGAAUAUUGAUCUACAAUAAAAAGGAGUGACCUUUUGAUACAUACAGCAACAGAGAUGAAUCUACACUAAAUGAAAGAAGCCAGACAAAAAAGAAUAUGUACUGCGGGAUUCUAUGUAAAAUGUUUCAAAAUGAAAACUAAUCUAUAGUUAGUUAAAGACUAAAUCCCUACUCGCCACAGCUAGAGGCUGGGGGCAAACUAGGAGCCAGGGAAGGAGGGAGGUAAUACAAAGAGGCACUAGGAAACUUUGGGGACCAUGAAAUGUUCAUUAUCUAAAUUAUGGUGACAGUUUCAUUGUAUAAACCUACAUAUGUCAAAACUUAUUAUAUGCUAAUGAUAAGAGCUGUAAAUGUUUUUGAGAUGGGGUCUCACUCUGUCACCCAGGCUGGAGUACAGUGGUACAAUCUUGGUUCACUGCAGCCUCGACCUCCUGGGCUCAAGCAAUCCUCCCACCCCAGCCUCCUGAGUAGCUGGGACCACAGGCGUGUGCCACCACAACCAGCUAAUUUUUGUAUUUGUAGUAGAGAUGGGGCUUCAACAUGUUUCCUAGUCUCCCAACUCCUGAGUUCAAGCAAUCCCCCUACCUUGGCUUCCCGAAGUAGUGGGAUUACAGGCUUGAGCCACUGUACCCAGCCAACACUUUUUUUUUUUUUUUUUAAUUAAAAAAAUUCUAGGGGGCCGGGCACGGUGGCUCAUCUGAGGUCGGGAGUAUGAGACCAGCCUGACCAACAUGGAGAAACCCCGUCUCUACUAAAAAUACAAAAUUAGGUGUGGUAGCACAUGCCUGUAAUCCCAGCUACUCGGGAGGUGGAGGUUCACGCCUGUAAUCCCAGCACUUUGGGAGGCUGGGGCGGGCAGAUCUUCUGAGGUCAAGAGAUUGAGACCAUCCUGGCCAACAAAGUGAAACCCCAUCUCUACUAAAAAUACAAAAAUUAGGUGGGCAUAGUGGCGCGGGCCUGUAGUCCCAGCUACUCAGGAGGCUGAGGCACGAGAAUCACUUGAACCCAGGAGGUGUAGGUUGCAGUGAGCUGAGAUUGCGCCACUGCACUCCAGCCUGGGCAACAGAGCGAGACUCCGUCUCAAAAAAACAAAACCAAAAAAAACACAUUUUAGGCCAGGCACAGUGGCUCAUGCCUGUAAUCCCAGCACUUUGGGAGGCUGAGGCAGGAGGAUCACUUGAGCUCAGGAGUUUGAGACCAGCCUGGACAACUUAGUGAGACCUCAUCUCUACUGAAACUCAAAAAAAAAAAAAAAAAAACACCACCAACAAAAAAAAAAACCCCAAAAUUAGCCGGGUAUGGUGGCAUGUGCCCGUAAGUCUCAGCUACAUGGGAGGCUGAGGUUAGAGAAUCACUUGAGCCCAGGAGGCUGAGCUGCAGUGAGCCAUGAUGGCGCCACUGCACUCCGGUGUGGGUGAUAGAGCAAGACACUGUCUAAAAAUAAUAAAUUUAAUGUUAUAAAAUAGCAGUAGAGAGAAGAAAUAAUACUCUUUUAUUUAUCAAAAAGAAAAAAGUAGGCCAGGCACAGUGGCUCACGCCUGUAAUCCCAGCACUUUGGAAGUCAAGGUGGGUGGAUCACCUGAGGUCAGGAAUUCAAGACCCUAGCCAACAUGGAGAAACCCUGUCUCUACUAAAAAUACAAUAUUAGCCGGGUGUGGUGGCACAUGCCUGUAAUCCCAGCUACUUGGGAGGCUGAGGCAGGAGAAUUGCUUGAAACCAGGAGGCAGAGGCUGUAGUGAGCUGAGAUCACCCAUUGCACUCCAGCCUAGGCAACAAGAGCGAAACUCCAUCUCAAAAAAAAAAAAAGUCCUCUCUGACUGUGCUGUAGAGAUGAAGAAUUAUUACAUCUUCCAUUUAGUAAGCGUGAACGUUGUUUUUCACAUGGUACCACAAGGCCAUCUCUUGGUCUUACAGGGAAAAUGGCAUUACAGGUUUUCAGGAAAACUGCUGAAGCUUUCUUUUCAUCGUUACCAGAAUGUUGGCAAUCAUUCCCCCACCGCACCCCGAAUUUAAUGCAAGGACGCAACAAGCACAGACACCAAAGCUGGCCACUCCGUGACUGUCACUAUAGGCCGCUACUCAGCCUUCCAUCCACUCAAGUGGACUCGACAUGCAGGGACAGAAAAACCCUUUCCCAUCUCUGCAGGACAGAGGGCAAGAGGUAGGGAAAAGAAAGAUCAGAGUGUUACUGUGUCUAUGUAGAAAAGGAAGACAUAAACUCCAUUUUGAUCUGUACUAAGAAAAAUUGUUUUGCCUUGAGAUGCUGUUAAUCUGCAACUUUAGCCCCAACCCUGUGCUCACAGAAACAUGUGCUGUAUGGAAUCAAGGUUCAAGGGAUCUAGGGCUGUGCAGCAUGUGCCUUGUUAACAAUAUGUUUACAGGCAGUAUGCUCGGUAAAAGUCAUCUGCAUUCUCCAUUCUCGAUUAACCAGGGGCACGAUGCACUGCGGAAAGCCGCAGGGACCUCUGCCCAAGAAAGCCUGGGUAUUGUCCAGGUAUUUCCCCGCACUGAGACAGCCUGAGAUAUGGCCUCGUGGGAAGGGAAAGACCUGACCAUCCCCCAGCCCGACACCCGUCGUCUGUGCUCAGGAGGAUUCGUAAAAGAGGAAGGCCUCCGUCUCCUGCAUGCCCCUGGGAACGGAAUAUCUCGGUGUAAAACCCGAUCGUACGUACCUAUGUUCGUUCUAUUCUUAGAUAGGAGAAAACUGCCCUGUGGCUGGAGGCGAGAUACGCUGGCGGCAAUGCUGCUCUGUUACUCUUUACUACACUGAGAUGUUUGGGUGGGGAGAAGCAUAAAUCUGGCCUACGUGCACAUCUAGGCACAGUACCUUCCCUUGAACUUAUUUGUGACACAGAUUCCUUUGCUCACGUUUUCCUGCUGACCUUCUCCCCACUAUCACCCUGUCCUCCUGCCGCAUUCCCCUUGCCAAGAUAGUGAAAAUAGUAAUCAAUAAAUACUGAGGGAACUCAAGAGACCGGUGCUGGUGCAGGUCCUCUGUAUGCUGAGUGCUGGUCCCCUGGGCCCACUGUUCUUUCUCUAUACUUUGUGUCUUAUUUCUUUUCUCUGUCUCUUGUCCCACCUGAUGAGAAAUACCCACAGGUGUGGAGGGGCUGGCCCCCUUCAAAGAGGUGGCUGGGACUACCCUCACCCACUCCCUUGAAAUCAG
rnacentral:lncRNA from 1 species